rnacentral:lncRNA from 1 species
UCUGAUUCCUAUAACGUUCUGGCGGCGACUUUGACGCAGGAUAUCAAACCGACGAUGUCUCCGGCUGAAUUUUACGACAAAACAAUGGAGACUUUCGGGUUUACUUUGAAGUAAGCCUCAAUGAAGCUGUUUAGCAAUUUAUAUAUGAGGAAAAAGUGAGGAAGGUAGAACGAAACAAUAACUAAGAGAUUAAAUAGGUCAUUGAUUGAUCAAGAGGAGCAAGCGAUAACGGAGAUUACAGAGCAAUCGAGAAGGUGAAGACAAAGUAGAAGAGUCGGGGAUGAUCAACUCGUACGCUCCAGACCAAAUUAGGGUUGGGCGAUAUUGGGCUUGCUAUGACAGUAAAGAAAAUUAAUGGCAGUC